GAUGAAGAACGCAGCGAAAUGCGAUAAGUAAUGUGAAUUGCAGAAUUCAGUGAAACAUCGAAUCUCUGAACGCACAUUGCGCCCCUUGGUAUUCCGAGGGGCAUGCCUGUUCGAGCGUCAUUAUAACCCCUCAAGCUCAGCUUGGUGUUGGGGCCUGCUGCACUGGCAGCCCUUAAAAUCAGUGGCGGCGCCAUCUGGCUCUAAGCGUAGUAAUUCUUCUCGCUAUGGAGUCCUGGUGGAUGCUUGCCAUCAACCCCCAAUUUUUCUAUGGUUGACCUCGGAUCAGGUAGGGAUACCCGCUGAACUUAAGCAUAUCAAUAAGCGGAGGA
rnacentral:misc_RNA from 1 species